rnacentral:tRNA from 1 species
UGUAGCAAACGGUUAAGUGCUUGGCUACUAACCAAAAUGGUGGUGGUUCAAAUCCAUCCA